rnacentral:rRNA from 1 species
GAUGAACGCUGGCGGCGUGCCUAAUACAUGCAAGUCGAGCGAACAGAUGAGGAGCUUGCUCCUCUGACGUUAGCGGCGGACGGGUGAGUAACACGUGGAUAACCUACCUAUAAGACUGGGAUAACUUCGGGAAACCGGAGCUAAUACCGGAUAAUAUAUUGAACCGCAUGGUUCAAUAGUGAAAGACGGUUUUGCUGUCAAUUAUAGAUGGAUCCGCGCCGCAUUAGCUAGUUGGUAAGGUAACGGCUUACCAAGGCAACGAUGCGUAGCCGACCUGAGAGGGUGGUCGCCCACACUGGAACUGAGACACGGUCCAGACUCCUACGGGAGGCAGCAAUAGGGAAUCUUCCGCAAUGGGCGAAAGCCCGACGGAGCAACGCCGCGUGAGUGAUGAAGGUCUUCGGAUCGUAAAGCUCUGUUAUUAGGAAAGAACAAAUGUGUAAGUAACUAUGCACGUCUUGACGGUACCUAAUCAGAAAGCCACGGCUAACUACGUG